CAAUAAUCAUAAUAAUAAAUACAUAUUCAUUUAUACUGUAUUUUUCAUUCGCAGUGAAUCUUAAGGUGCUACAUGCUACGGUUUUAAAAACAUACAACACACAACAUAAAGAAAAUAACAAAAAAGCCUCCCUGAAUAGGAAGGUUUUUAACGGUAAGAUCUCUGCCGAGUUGACAGGUUUGUUUGUUUUCUGCAAAAUAAGUGCGCUAUUAAGAUAAAGAGUGAAAGAGCAGGAUAUGGAGGAUACUCGACCUGAUGAUCUGGCAACCAUCAACUUCAAGCUGUACGCAUUGCUGACAGCAGUAGCCCGGCAGCAGCAGUAGUAGAGUCAGUGAGGUUUGAAAACCUUACAGCAGCUAGUUACAGAGCAGCACAUUACCUACAGACUGACUCUCAGCUCGUGACUCCAGCUUCACUCCACUUGAGAUCCCCAGGGAUCCAAGCACAGCCUUCCCGGUCUUCAGGCUCUUGGACAUUGGGAUGCGGGUCAGCCCUGUGCGAGGUGCCUGGGCAUCAUGCCCAGUCUGUUUGACAACAGGGAGAGAGUACAGUUUCUCAGACAGGGGGACAUAAAGAGUGAAUAAUGGAAAAAGGGCAAAAACCCAUAACAGGAAUUCCAAAUUCCUGAACAAUGUAACUGAUCAUAUGCACUAUAGCGGUCACUGGCCUGACUACCAUCUUCGGGGUGAUGCUGUUGCCUAGAUGAAUAUGG